AUUGAACGCUGGCGGCAUGCCUUACACAUGCGAGUCGAACGGCAGCACGGGUGCUUGCACCUGGUGGCGAGUGGCGAACGGGUGAGUAAUACAUCGGAACAUGUCCUGUAGUGGGGGAUAGCCCGGCGAAAGCCGGAUUAAUACCGCAUACGAUCCACGGAUGAAAGCGGGGGACCUUCGGGCCUCGCGCUAUAGGGUUGGCCGAUGGCUGAUUAGCUAGUUGGUGGGGUAAAGGCCUACCAAGGCGACGAUCAGUAGCUGGUCUGAGAGGACGACCAGCCACACUGGGACUGAGACACGGCCCAGACUCCUACGGGAGGCAGCAGUGGGGAAUUUUGGACAAUGGGCGAAAGCCUGAUCCAGCAAUGCCGCGUGUGUGAAGAAGGCCUUCGGGUUGUAAAGCACUUUUGUCCGGAAAGAAAUCCUUGACUCUAAUACAGUCGGGGGAUGACGGUACCGGAAGAAUAAGCACCGGCUAAUUACGUG
rnacentral:rRNA from 1 species